rnacentral:rRNA from 1 species
AUUGAACGCUGGCGGCAGGCCUAACACAUGCAAGUCGAACGAGUGGCGGACGGGUGAGAAAUGUCUGUGCCACUGCCUGAUGGAGAGGGACAACUAAUGGAAACUGUAGCUAAUACCGCCUACAAUCAGAUGUGCCCAGAGGGGAUUAGCUUGUGGGUGGGGUAACGGCUCACCACGGCGACGAUCCCUAGCUGGUCUGAGAGGAUGACCAGCCACACUGGAACUGAGACACGGUCCAGACUCCUACGGGAGGCAGCAGUGGGGAAUAUUGCACAAUGGGCGCAAGCCUGAUGCAGCCAUGCCGCGUGUAUGAAGAAGGCCUUAGGGUUGUAAAGUACUUUCAGCGGGGAGGCGUUACCCGCAGAAGAAGCACCGGCUAACUCCGUGCCAGCAGCCGCGGUAAUGC